UACAGAGGUCCCAAGCGUUGUUCGGAUUCACUGGGCGUAAAGGGUGCGUAGGCGGUCGGGUAAGUCUGAUGUGAAAUCUCACAGCUUAACUGUGAAACUGCAUUGGAUACUAUCCGGCUAGAGGAAUGGAGGGGAGACUGGAAUACUUGGUGUAGCAGUGAAAUGCGUAGAUAUCAAGUGGAACACCAGUGGCGAAGGCGGCUCACUGGACCGGUACUGACGCUGAAGCGCGAAAGCGUGGGGAGCAAACGGG
rnacentral:rRNA from 1 species